rnacentral:rRNA from 1 species
AACGAACGCUGGCGGCAGGCUUAACACAUGCAAGUCGAGCGCCCCGCAAGGGGAGCGGCAGACGGGUGAGUGACGCGUGGGAAUCUACCCAUCUCUACGGAAUAACGCAUGGAAACGUGUGCUAAUACCGUAUACGUCCUUCGGGAGAAAGAUUUAUCGGAGAUGGAUGAGCCCGCGUUGAUUAGCUAGUUGGUGGGGUAAAGGCCUACCCAGGCGACGAUUCAUAGCUGGUCUGAGAGGAUGAUCAGCCACACUGGGACUGAGACACGGCCCAGACUCCUACGGGAGGCAGCAGUGGGGAAUAUUGGACAAUGGGCGCAAGCCUGAUCCAGCCAUGCCGCGUGAGUGAUGAAGGCCCUAGGGUUGUAAAGCUCUUUCACCGGUGAAGAUAAUGACGGUAACCGGAGAAGAAGCCCCGGCUAACUUCGUGCCAGCCGCCGCCGUAAGAC